UGGGGAAUAUUGGACAAUGGGCGCAAGCCUGAUCCAGCCAUGCCGCGUGAGUGAUGAAGGCCCUAGGGUUGUAAAGCUCUUUCACCGGUGAAGAUAAUGACGGUAACCGGAGAAGAAGCCCCGGCUAACUUCGUGCCAGCAGCCGCGGUAAUACGAAGGGGGCUAGCGUUGUUCGGAUUUACUGGGCGUAAAGCGCACGUAGGCGGACUAUUAAGUCAGGGGUGAAAUCCCGGGGCUCAACCCCGGAACUGCCUUUGAUACUGGUAGUCUUGAGUUCGAGAGAGGUGAGUGGAAUUCCGCGUGUAGAGGUGAAAUUCGUAGAUAUUCGGAGGAACACCAGUGGCGAAGGCGGCUCACUGGCUCGAUACUGACGCUGAGGUGCGAAAGCGUGGGGAGCAAACAGG
rnacentral:rRNA from 1 species